CGGGGGGGAGUGUUGCGACGGAGCACGUCCCAAAUACGGCCGAAGCAAUCCCCUCGUACUACGUUGGUAUUAGUGUUUGUUUUCGUUUUGACUGGUGCCCGUGCUGUCGCUUGGCAAUCGAACAGAAGUUGAAAACUAUCUGAGCAAGCGGGAGCACGGGCGCAGCUAAGAAAGUAGCUGCGAAAAGACACCGUAAAUUUUUGUAGCAUGUGGUAAAUGAAGGAGUUUUAUUUGCCCUGCUGACGGAACCGGUGCCCGGUUGAGAAAUUCCCGCCUGUCUCAACACU